rnacentral:rRNA from 1 species
GACGUAGGGGGCCAGCGUUGCUCGGAAUUACUGGGCGUAAAGGGUCCGUAGGCGGUGCGGUAAGUCGGGAGUGAAAUCUCUGGGCUUAACUCAGAGGCUGCUUCCGAAACUACCGUGCUAGAGUGCGAGAGAGGCAAGUGGAAUUGCGGGUGUAGCGGUGAAGUGCGUAGAUAUCCGCAGGAACAUCCGAGGCGAAAGCGGCUUGCUGGAUCGCAACUGACGCUGAGGGACGAAAGCUAGGGGAGCAAACAGG